UGAAAAUAGGGUGUAUAUGUAUAGUAGAGUGUAGAAUGGGUUAAGGUUGACGUGAGCUGGAACGGGGUCAGCAGGGGCGUGUUUCCACAGUCAGUCUGUUCUGCAGCAGUCUGUUGGGUUCAUCGGGUUCAUGCGCGCUCAGUAUGGCGGCUGAGGCGGGGGGAAGAGUGGCCUCGUUUGACUGGAUUUGGAAACGCUCCAAGCUGCAGUCGGGGAAGUGGAAUGGGAGGCAUCUGCGUUUGCUUUAGAAAAGACGUGCAUAUGCUUGCACUGUUGUUGCAUUUGUGUUUGACGGUGCAUGUUGCAGGCUUGCACCGAGUGCAUCAGAUAGAUUUAAUCUUCGUCUGAAGUCUGACUCAGCAGGAAUGUGGGAGGAUGACUGUUUCUUCAGAGCAGAGAUCACGACCUUAAAUUUACGAGAUGUUAUGCAUGCAUCUAAAAAAUUUGAUAUUUUUGUAAUGGGGUGCAACAGAAAACUCAGCUUGUUUCUUCAAAAUGACACCAACAGGAGCAAUGGGGGAUCCCAUUAGAGCUCACAGCGGUGUUCCUGAACCUGGUGGCGCGGAGAGGAACGACCACGAAAGAUCGACAUCCCAUCUGUCGGAUGCAGGAUAGAGAACGGUCCUCUGGGGAAAUUGUAUCCUCAUGUUUAUUCUUUUUUAUUUCCUAAAUCAUGUAUAUCCUUAUUUUUUAUGGUUAUGGCGUGCGGUACAGAUGAAUUAUGACGCUGGGGCUAUUUCCCCAUCUAUGUGAUUAAUAGCAUUUUAGAAAAACCUG
rnacentral:lncRNA from 1 species